AUUUGAUUUUUAGAUUCGAGGACGAAUCUUUUUGAGGAAGGGGGGAAUGAUACGAGAUCAAAGGCCCGACAAAUGCGUUCCAAACUAAAUGAGACCAUCCAGGAGUUUGUUAGUAAGGCCUUAGAUGCGUACACAAAAGAAAGGGAAAAUCAAGAUUUCAAAUAUUGGGAAUCUUGGUCCAAGACACCAAAUCUUGCAGCCAAAGCGCAUUGGAUCUCCAUUACGAGCAUCAACGAUUCAAUUUCGGUAGGAGAUGGAUCACAAGCCCAAAUUCUUGAGGGUAAGGCCCAAUAAGAAGAUUCCAAGCCCAAUCAAGAAAUCCACCCAUACUUAGUUGAAAAUCAGGCCAAAUUGUCAAAG
rnacentral:lncRNA from 1 species